rnacentral:rRNA from 1 species
AGUCGACGGUAACAGGAAGCAGCUUGCUGCUUCGCUGACGAGUGGCGGACGGGUGAGUAAUGUCUGGGAAACUGCCCGAUGGAGGGGGAUAACUACUGGAAACGGUAGCUAAUACCGCAUAAUGUCGCAAGACCAAAGAGGGGGACCUUCGGGCCUCUUGCCAUCGGAUGUGCCCAGAUGGGAUUAGCUUGUUGGUGAGGUAACGGCUCACCAAGGCGACCAUCCCUAGCUGGUCUGAGAGGAUGACCAGCCACACUGGAACUGAGACACGGUCCAGACUCCUACGGGAGGCAGCAGUGGGGAAUAUUGCACAAUGGGCGCAAGCCUGAUGCAGCCAUGCCGCGUGUAUGAAGAAGGCCUUCGGGUUGUAAAGUACUUUCAGCGGGGAGGAAGGGGUUAAGGUUAAUAACCUUAGCCAUUGACGUUACCCGCAGAAGAAGCACCGGCUAACUCCGUGCCAGCAGCCGCGGUAAUACCGAGGGUGCAAGCGUUAAUCGGAAUUACUGGGCGUAAAGCGCACGCAGGCGGUCUGUCAAGUCGGAUGUGAAAUCCCCGGGCUCAACCUGGGAACUGCAUUCCAAACUGGCAGGCUUGAGUCUCGUAGAGGGGGGUAGAAUUCCAGGUGUAGCGGUGAAAUGCGUAGAGAUCUGGAGGAAUACCGGUGGCGAAAGCGGCCCCCUGGACGAAGACUGACGCUCAAGUGCGAAAGCGUGGGGAGCAAACAGGAUUAGAUACCCUGGUAGUC